AGAGUUUGAUCCUGGCUCAGAUUGAACGCUGGCGGCAUGCCUUACACAUGCAAGUCGAACGGCAGCGCGGGAGCAAUCCUGGCGGCGAGUGGCGAACGGGUGAGUAAUAUAUCGGAACGUGCCCAGUAGUGGGGGAUAGCCCGGCGAAAGCCGGAUUAAUACCGCAUACGACCUACGGGUGAAAGGGGGGGAUCGCAAGACCUCUCGCUAUUGGAGCGGCCGAUAUCAGAUUAGGUAGUUGGUGGGGUAAAGGCCUACCAAGCCUGCGAUCUGUAGUUGGUCUGAGAGGACGACCAGCCACACUGGGACUGAGACACGGCCCAGACUCCUACGGGAGGCAGCAGUGGGGAAUUUUGGACAAUGGGCGCAAGCCUUAUCCAGCAAUGCUGCGUGCAGGAAGAAGGCCUUCGGGUUGUAAACUGCUUUUGUCAGGGAAGAAAUCCUCUGGGUUAAUACCUCGGGGGGAUGACGGUACCUGAAGAAUAAGCACCGGCUAACUACGUG
rnacentral:rRNA from 1 species